rnacentral:rRNA from 1 species
GGGCCCGCACAAGCGGUGGAGCAUGUGGUUUAAUUCGAUGAUACGCGAGGAACCUUACCAGGGCUUAAAUGUAGUGGGACAGGCUUAGAGAUAGGCUUUUCUUCGGACUCAUUACAAGGUGCUGCAUGGUUGUCGUCAGCUCGUGCCGUGAGGUGUCAGGUUAAGUCCUAUAACGAGCGCAACCCCUACCGUUAGUUGCCAGCGAGUAAUGUCGGGGACUCUAACGGAACUGCCGGUGCAAACCGAGAGGAAGGUGGGGAUGACGUCAAAUCAUCACGGCCCUUACGUCCUGGGCUACACACGUGCUACAAUGGCCGGUACAAUGAGCAGCCACUGCGCAAGCAGGAGCGAAUCUAUAAAACCGGUCACAGUUCGGAUCGGGGUCUGCAACUCGACCCCGUGAAGCUGGAAUCGCUAGUAA